UACGUAGGGUGCAAGCGUUAAUCGGAAUUACUGGGCGUAAAGCGUGCGCAGGCGGUUAUAUAAGACAGUUGUGAAAGCCCCGGGCUCAACCUGGGAAUUGCGAUGAAGACUGCAAGGCUUGAAUCUGGCAGGAGGGGGUAGAAUUCCACGUGUAGCAGUGAAAUGCGUAGAGAUGUGGAGGAACACCGAUGGCCGAAGGCAGCCCCCUGGGUCAAGAUUGACGCUCAUGCACGAAAGCGUGGGAGCAAACGGG
rnacentral:rRNA from 1 species